rnacentral:rRNA from 1 species
GACGAACGCUGGCGGCGUGCUUAACACAUGCAAGUCGAGCGGUAAGGCCCUUUCGGGGGUACACGAGCGGCGAACGGGUGAGUAACACGUGGGUGACCUGCCCUCAGCUCUGGGAUAAGCCCGGGAAACUGGGUCUAAUACUGGAUAUGACUCCAUGACGCAUGUUGUGGGGUGGAAAGCCUUGUGCGGCUGAGGAUGGGCCCGCGGCCUAUCAGCUUGUUGGUGGGGGAUGGCCUACCAAGGCGACGACGGGUAGCCGGCCUGAGAGGGCGACCGGCCACACUGGGACUGAGACACGGCCCAAACUCCUACGGGAGGCAGCAGUGGGGAAUCUUGCGCAAUGGGCGAAAGCCUGACGCAGCGACGCCGCGUGAGGGAUGACGGCCUCGG